AAGCACGGACCAAGGAGUUCAGCGUGUACGCGAGUCAUUGGGUGAUAAAACCCAAAGGCGUAAUGAAAGUGAAGGGAACUUUACGUUUCUGAGGGAGGAUGAGUCGGUUACCCGCAAGGGGCUGCUCCGCACUCCCGGGGCGUCUCUUUCUCAUUGCGAGUGGAGGCGCACCCAGAGCGUACACGCUGAUACCCGAAAGAUGGUGAACUAUGCCUGGCCAGGACGAAGCCAGGGGAAACCCUGGUGGAGGUCCGCAGCGAUUCUGACGUGCAAAUCGAUCGUCGGAGCUGGGUAUAGGGGCGAAAGACCAAUCGAACCAUCUAGUAGCUGGUUCCCUCCGAAGUUUCCCUCAGGAUAGCUUGCGCUCAUGUGAAAGAGUCUCAUCCGGUAGAGCGAAUGAUUAGAGGCCUUGGGGUCGAAACGACCUCAACCUAUUCUCAAACUCCAAAUAGAUGAGAACUCCGGCUUUCUUGAACUUUGUUUUUGAAGCCGGGGGCUCGGAUCAGAGUGCCAAGUGGGCCAAUUUUGGUAAGCAGAACUGGCGCUGUGGGAUGAACCAAACGUCGAGUUAAGGCGCCCAAAUCGACGCUCAUGUGAAACCAUGAAAGGCGUUGGUUGCUUAAGACAGCAGGACGGUGGCCAUGGAAGUCGGAAUCCGCUAAGGAGUGUGUAACAACUCACCUGCCGAAGCAACUAGCCCUGAAAAUGGAUGGCGCUGUAGCGUCGUGCCUAUACUCGACCGUCAACGGCAAAGAUGGCUGGCGGGCAACCGUCGGCCGUUACGCCUUGACGAGUAGGAGGGCCGCGGCGGCGUGCGUAGAAGGGUCUGGGCGUGAGCCUGCCUGGAGCCGCCGUCGGUGCAGAUCUUGGUGGUAGUAGCAAAUACUCCAGCGAGGCCCUGGAGGACUGAUGUGGAGAAGGGUUUCUUGUGAACAGCUGUUGCACAAGAGUCAGUCGGUCCUAAGCCCUAGGAGAAAUCCGAAGCGAUGGGUUGCCGUUAAUUAUCAUAUACGAUUAUGGAGGCACCCGUUUGGGCGAAAGGGAAUCCGGUUCCUAUUCCGGAACCUGGCAGUGGAACCGUUCCAAUUCGGGCCCUCUGAGGACUCGUCAGGGCAACCUGAAUAGACCCGGAGACGCCGACAGGAGGUUGGGGGAGAGUUGUCUCUUCUCUAUAAGCGAUCGAGUUCCCUGGAAACUUCUAGCAAGGAGAUAGGGUUUGGAUCGCGAAGAGCACUGCAGUUACGGCAGUGUCCCAAUCUUCCUCUCGGACCUUGAAAAUCCGGGUGAGGGCCACGAGGAACCCCACGCCAGACCGUACCCAUAUCCGCAGCAGGUCUCCAAGGUGCAAAGCCUCUAGUCGAUAGAAUAAUGUAGGAAAAGGGAAGUU
rnacentral:rRNA from 1 species